GGGGAAGUCGGUAUCCGCUAA
rnacentral:misc_RNA from 1 species